rnacentral:rRNA from 1 species
AGAUGAAUCAAAGAAGGUAAUAAUCCUGUAGUCGAAAAUGUUGUCUCUCUUGAGUGGAUCCUGAGUACGACGGAGCACGUGAAAUUCCGUCGGAAUCUGGGAGGACCAUCUCCUAAGGCUAAAUACUCUCUAGUGACCGAUAGUGAACCAGUACCGUGAGGGAAAGGUGAAAAGCACCCCGGAAGGGGAGUGAAAUAGAACCUGAAACCGUGUGCUUACAAGUAGUCAGAGCCCGUUAAUGGGUGAUGGCGUGCCUUUUGUAGAAUGAACCGGCGAGUUACGAUUUGAUGCAAGGUUAAGCAGUAAAUGUGGAGCCGUAGCGAAAGCGAGUCUGAAUAGGGCGUUUAGUAUUUGGUCGUAGACCCGAAACCAGGUGAUCUACCCUUGGUCAGGUUGAAGUUCAGGUAACACUGAAUGGAGGACCGAACCGACUUACGUUGAAAAGUGAGCGGAUGAACUGAGGGUAGCGGAGAAAUUCCAAUCGAACCUGGAGAUAGCUGGUUCUCUCCGAAAUAGCUUUAGGGCUAGCCUCAAGUGAUGAUUAUUGGAGGUAGAGCACUGUUUGGACGAGGGGCCCCUCUCGGGUUACCGAAUUCAGACAAACUCCGAAUGCCAAUUAAUUUAACUUGGGAGUCAGAACAUGGGUGAUAAGGUCCGUGUUCGAAAGGGAAACAGCCCAGACCACCAGCUAAGGUCCCAAAAUAUAUGUUAAGUGGAAAAGGAUGUGGCGUUGCCCAGACAACUAGGAUGUUGGCUUAGAAGCAGCCAUCAUUUAAAGAGUGCGUAAUAGCUCACUAGUCGAGUGACACUGCGCCGAAAAUGUACCGGGGCUAAACAUAUUACCGAAGCUGUGGAUUGUCCUUUGGACAAUGGUAGGAGAGCGUUCUAAGGGCGUUGAAGCAUGAUCGUAAGGACAUGUGGAGCGCUUAGAAGUGAGAAUGCCGGUGUGAGUAGCGAAAGACGGGUGAGAAUCCCGUCCACCGAUUGACUAAGGUUUCCAGAGGAAGGCUCGUCCGCUCUGGGUUAGUCGGGUCCUAAGCUGAGGCCGACAGGCGUAGGCGAUGGAUAACAGGUUGAUAUUCCUGUACCACCUAUAAUCGUUUUAAUCGAUGGGGGGACGCAGUAGGAUAGGCGAAGCGUGCGAUUGGAUUGCACGUCUAAGCAGUAAGGCUGAGUAUUAGGCAAAUCCGGUACUCGUUAAGGCUGAGCUGUGAUGGGGAGAAGACAUUGUGUCUUCGAGUCGUUGAUUUCACACUGCCGAGAAAAGCCUCUAGAUAGAAAAUAGGUGCCCGUACCGCAAACCGACACAGGUAGUCAAGAUGAGAAUUCUAAGGUGAGCGAGCGAACUCUCGUUAAGGAACUCGGCAAAAUGACCCCGUAACUUCGGGAGAAGGGGUGCUCUUUAGGGUUAACGCCCAGAAGAGCCGCAGUGAAUAGGCCCAAGCGACUGUUUAUCAAAAACACAGGUCUCUGCUAAACCGUAAGGUGAUGUAUAGGGGCUGACGCCUGCCCGGUGCUGGAAGGU